CUGGAUAUGAUGAACAAGUUACUGUUUGAUGUCAAACUGAUCUCUGUUGUAUUCAUACUGACUGAUCCUG
ensembl:snoRNA small nucleolar RNA, C/D box 41